rnacentral:rRNA from 1 species
AUUGCCCUAGUAACGGCGAGUGAAGCGGCAACAGCUCAAAUUUGAAAUCUGGCCCCAGGCCCGAGUUGUAAUUUGUAGAGGAUGCUUUUGGUGCGGUACUUUCCGAGUUUCCCUGGAACGGGACGCGUUAGAGGGUGAGAGCCCCGUACGGUUGGAUACCUAGCCUCUGUAAAGCUCCUUCGACGAGUCGAGUAGUUUGGGAAUGCUGCUCAAAAUGGGAGGUAAAUUUCUUCUAAAGCUAAAUACCGGCCAGAGACCGAUAGCGCACAAGUAGAGUGAUCGAAAGAUGAAAAGCACUUUGAAAAGAGGGUUAAAUAGCACGUGAAAUUGUUGAAAGGGAAGGACUUAUGACCAGACUUUUUCUAGGCGGAUCAUCCGGUGUUCUCACCGGUGCACUUCGCCUAGUUAAGGCCAGCAUCGGUUUCUGUAGAGGGAUAAAAGCAGUAGGAAUGUGGCUCCCUCGGGAGUGUUAUAACCUAUUGUAUAAUACCUUUAUGGGGACCGAGGUUCGCGCUUCGGCAAGGAUGCUGGCAUAAUGGUCAUCAGUCACCCGUCUUGAAACACGGACCAAGGAGUCGAACAUUUAUGCGAGUGUUUGGGUGUUAAACCCUCACGCGUAAUGAAAGUGAACGGAGGUGAGAGCCUUAGGGUGCAUCAUCGACCGAUCCUGAAGUCUUCGGAUGGAUUUGAGUAAGAGCAUAACUGUUCGGACCCGAAAGAUGGUGAACUAUGCGUGGAUAGGGUGAAGCCAGAGGAAACUCUGGUGGAGGCUCGCAGCGGUUCUGACGUGCAAAUCGAUCGUCAAAUCUGCGCAUGGGGGCGAAAGACUAAU